AUAGCCCAGAGAAAUUUGGAUUAAUACCUCAUAGUAUUAUUAUAGGCAUCUAUUUAUAAUUAAAACUUCGGUGGUUAAAGAUGAGCAUGCGUCCUAUUAGCUUGUUGGUAAGGUAAAAGCUUACCAAGGCUACGAUAGGUAGGGGGCCUGAGAGGGUGACCCCCCACACUGGUACUGAGACACGGACCAGACUCCUACGGGAGGCAGCAGUGAGGAAUAUUGCACAAUGGAGGAAACUCUGAUGCAGCCAUGCCGCGUGCAGGAUGAAUGCCCUAUGGGUUGUAAACUGCUUUUCUGCAAGAAGAAACCUUAGUACGGUACUAAGCUGACGGUAUGUAGGAUAAGCACCGGCU
rnacentral:rRNA from 1 species